GACGAACGCUGGCGGCGUGCCUAAUACAUGCAAGUCGAGCGGAGCUUAUCCUUCGGGGUAAGCUUAGCGGCGGACGUGUGAGUAACACGUAGGCAACCUGCCCCUUAGCCUGGGAUAACUACCGGAAACGGUAGCUAAUACCGGAUCAUUUCUUUUUUCUCCUGAAGGGAGAAUGAAAGGCGGAGCAAUCUGCCCUUAAGGUAUGGGCCUGCGGCGCAUUAGCUAGUUGGGGGGGUAACGGCUCACCAAGGCGACGAUGCGUAGCCGAGCUGGGAGGGUGACCGGCCCCACUGGGGCUGUGACACGUCCCAGGCUCCUACGGGGGGAGGCAGUAAGGAAACUGACGGAAUGGGGGAAAGCCAGUCGGAGGAACGCCGCGUGAGUGAUGGAGGUUUUCGGAUCGUAAAGCUCUGUUGCCAGGGAAGAACGUCCGGUAGAGUAACUGCUACCGGAGUGACGGUACCUGAGAAGAAAGCCCCGGCUAACUACGUGCCAGCCGCCGCUGUAA
rnacentral:rRNA from 1 species